GAUGAAGAACGUAGCGAAAUGCGAUAAGUAGUGUGAAUUGCAGAAUUCAGUGAAUCAUCGAAUCUUUGAACGCACAUUGCGCCCCUUGGUAUCCCGAGGGGCAUGCCUGUUCGAGCGUCAUUUCACCACUCAAGCCUGGCUUGGUGUUGGGCGACGUCCUCUUUGGGGACGCGCCUCGAAACGCUCGGCGGCGUGGCACCGGCUUUAAGCGUAGCAGAAUCUUUCGCUUUGGAAGUCGGGGCCCCGUCAGCCGGAAGACCUGCUCGCAAGGUUGACCUCGGAUCAGGCAGGGAUACCCGCUGAACUUAAGCAUAUCAAUAAGCGGAGGA
rnacentral:misc_RNA from 1 species